GGGGGUGAACGGUUUCGACUGUGGAAGUUUGAUCGAGGGAAGCGUGCCAGUGCAGGUGGAUGACCACUGUUGAGCGUCGCCACAAACCAAUAAGCGCCAACUCUAAUCGCGCUGACUUCCAGCUCGCUGCCUAAGUAGCGACUGGAGUCUGUCGGACCAGGAGCGCCUCCGGCCUGGACCCCGGCAUCAGCUAGGAGGCUCAACCACCGUUUUUGGCAGCGGGAAACGGUGGGAAACUUACAGCUGCUGGGCCCGUCGCUCCGGCAAGUUCAGGUGACCGGAGGGGCCGAGUAGGGACAAGCUGAACUGCGCACGGAGAAGCCUUGAUAGGGCUCCAGAGGACCCGGGUUCGAUUCCCGGCACCUCCACUU
rnacentral:tmRNA from 1 species